rnacentral:rRNA from 1 species
GGGUUAACCACCUAGUUCAGAACUCAAGUUCUAUGUAUAUAUACUCUAUGAAUGUCUUGAAUGUCUUUUACUGGGACUUAACUGGCCCUUUAAACUUUAUACAACUUUCAGCAACGGAUCUCUUGGCUCUCGCAUCGAUGAAGAACGCAGCGAAAUGCGAUAAGUAAUGUGAAUUGCAGAAUUCAGUGAAUCAUCGAAUCUUUGAACGCACCUUGCGCCUCUUGGUAUUCCGAGAGGCAUGCCUGUUUGAGUGUCAUUAAAUUCUCAACUUCAAAAGCUUUGUCUUUUUGAAGCUUGGAUGUGAAGGCUUGCUGGCGUUUUAAAUGUUCAGCUUCUUUGAAAUGCAUUAGUGGACCCGUUUGUGUUCAUCCUUAGUGUGAUAAUUAUCUACGCUAUGGUUUUGAAUGCAUGCUCAUUAGAAUCUUCAAGCUGUUUCACAGUCUUGGCGUGGAGAGUUGCAUUUACUUGCUCUUUCUGUCUUUUGAGUCAGGAUUGUCUGCUUCUAACCGUCUGCCUCUGUAGACAACUUGAACCAUUUGACCUCAAUCAGGUAGGACUACCCG